UGGGGAAUACUGCACAAUGGGCGGAAGCCUGAUGCAGCAACGCCGCGUGCGGGAUGACGGCCUUCGGGUUGUAAACCGCUUUCGCCUGUGACGAAGCGUGAGUGACGGUAAUGGGUAAAGAAGCACCGGCUAACUACGUGCCAGCAGCCGCGGUGAUACGUAGGGUGCGAGCGUUGUCCGGAUUUAUUGGGCGUAAAGGGCUCGUAGGUGGUUGAUCGCGUCGGAAGUGUAAUCUUGGGGGCUUAACCCCUGAGCGUGCUUUCGAUACGGGUUGACUUGAGGAAGGUAGGGGAGAAUGGGAUUCCUGGUGGAGCGGUGGAAUGCGCAGAUAUCAGGAGGAACACCAGUGGCGAAGGCGGUUCUCUGGGCCCUUUCCUGACGCUGAGGAUCGAAAGCGUGGGGAGCGAACAGGCUUAGAUACCCUGGUAGUCCACGCUGUAAACGGUGGGGUACUAGGUGUGGGGGUCCAUUUCCACGGGUCCCGUGGCCGUAGCUAACGCUUUAAGUACCCC
rnacentral:rRNA from 1 species